AAAUUGAAGAGUUUGAUCAUGGCUCAGAUUGAACGCUGGCGGCAGGCCUAACACAUGCAAGUCGAACGGUAGCACAGAGAGCUUGCUCUCGGGUGACGAGUGGCGGACGGGUGAGUAAUGUCUGGGAAACUGCCUGAUGGAGGGGGAUAACUACUGGAAACGGUGGCUAAUACCGCAUAAUGUCGCAAGACCAAAGAGGGGGACCUUCGGGCCUCUUGCCAUCAGAUGUGCCCAGAUG
rnacentral:rRNA from 1 species